rnacentral:rRNA from 1 species
CUUCGGCUGGUAAGUGCCCGCCAGAGGACCCAAAACCCUGAAUAUUAGUGUCGUCUGAGUAAAAUUUUAAUAUUUAAAACUUUCAACAACGGAUCUCUUGGCUCUGGCAUCGAUGAAGAACGCAGCGAAAUGCGAUAAGUAAUGUGAAUUGCAGAAUUCAGUGAAUCAUCGAAUCUUUGAACGCACAUUGCGCCCCUUGGUAUUCCGAGGGGCAUGCCUAUUCGAGCGUCAUUAUCACCCCUCAAGCUUCGGCUUGGUGUUGAGGCCUGCUGUAAAGGCACCCUCUAAAAUCAGUGGCAGUGCUGUCAGGCUCUAAGCGUAGUAAUUUUAUCGCUAUAGGGUCCUGGUGGAUACUCGUCAAAACCCCCCCAUUUUUUAAUGAUUGACCUCGGAUUAGGUAGGGAUACCCGCUGAACUUAAGCAUAUCAAUAAGCGGAGGAAU